UGCUACAGGCUUAACACAUGCAAGUCGAGGGGCAGCAUGGUCUUAGCUUGCUAAGGCCGAUGGCGACCGGCGCACGGGUGAGUAACACGUAUCCAACCUGCCGUCUACUCUUGGACAGCCUUCUGAAAGGAAGAUUAAUACAAGAUGGCAUCAUGAGUCCGCAUGUUCACAUGAUUAAAGGUAUUCCGGUAGACGAUGGGGAUGCGUUCCAUUAGAUAGUAGGCGGGGUAACGGCCCACCUAGUCUUCGAUGGAUAGGGGUUCUGAGAGGAAGGUCCCCCACAUUGGAACUGAGACACGGUCCAAACUCCUACGGGAGGCAGCAGUGAGGAAUAUUGGUCAAUGGGCGAGAGCCUGAACCAGCCAAGUAGCGUGAAGGAUGACUGCCCUAUGGGUUGUAAACUUCUUUUAUAAAGGAAUAAAGUCGGGUAUGGAUACCCGUUUGCAUGUACUUUAUGAAUAAGGAUCGGCUAACUCCGUGCCAGCAGCCGCGGUAAUACGGAGGAUCCGAGCGUUAUCCGGAUUUAUUGGGUUUAAAGGGAGCGUAGAUGGAUGUUUAAGUCAGUUGUGAAAGUUUGCGGCUCAACCGUAAAAUUGCAGUUGAUACUGGAUAUCUUGAGUGCAGUUGAGGCAGGCGGAAUUCGUGGUGUAGCGGUGAAAUGCUUAGAUGUCACGAAGAACUCCGAUUGCGAAGGCAGCCUGCUAAGCUGCAACUGACAUUGAGGCUCGAAAGUGUGGGUAUCAAACAGGAUUAGAUACCCUGGUAGUCCACACGGUAAACGAUGAAUACUCGCUGUUUGCGAUAUACAGCAAGCGGCCAAGCGAAAGCGUUAAGUAUUCCACCUGGGGAGUACGCCGGCAACGGUGAAACUCAAAGGAAUUGACGGGGGCCCGCACAAGCGGAGGAACAUGUGGUUUAAUUCGAUGAUACGCGAGGAACCUUACCCGGGCUUAAAUUGCAGAUGAAUUACGGUGAAAGCCGUAAGCCGCAAGGCAUCUGUGAAGGUGCUGCAUGGUUGUCGUCAGCUCGUGCCGUGAGGUGUCGGCUUAAGUGCCAUAACGAGCGCAACCCUUGUUGUCAGUUACUAACAGGUUCCGCUGAGGACUCUGACAAGACUGCCAUCGUAAGAUGUGAGGAAGGUGGGGAUGACGUCAAAUCAGCACGGCCCUUACGUCCGGGGCUACACACGUGUUACAAUGGGGGGUACAGAGGGCCGCUACCACGCGAGUGGAUGCCAAUCCCCAAAACCUCUCUCAGUUCGGACUGGAGUCUGCAACCCGACUCCACGAAGCUGGAUUCGCUAGUAAUCGCGCAUCAGCCACGGCGCGGUGAAUACGUUCCCGGGCCUUGUACACACCGCCCGUCAAGCCAUGGGAGCCGGGGGUACCUGAAGUGCGUAACCGCGAGGAGCGCCCUAGGGUAAAACUGGUG
rnacentral:rRNA from 1 species